ACACGCAGGUAAGUUUACGCAGGUAAACAUGCAGGUAAGUUCUUCGUUUUCUCUUUUUCCUAACAUCUGUUUUGCGUACACGACAGCAUCUAACAGCAGUGCUGCAAAUUCCGCUCAAGGUGGGUAUUGGCAUGUUGCUCUAUUGUAUCACAUAGUCGUGUUACGACAAUGUCUUCCAGGUCUUGAUAGAAACAUACUCACCGUACUACUUGAUAUAUAAAAAAAAAACAGUGAAGUAGGUGGAUCGGCGUCUGCAAGCGUACUGCCAGCGAAAUUUGGUUACGAGAUUCGACAUCCCGGACCUCCCUUUGAAAACUGAAGGCGAUCUUCUUCAGCUUGACACAGUACUGCAGAGGCCAAAGGCAGGGCACAUAUGAUUCAGAUGCUGUCCCGGCUGGGAGGGAACUCAAUUCAAGAAACGGUGCAGCUUGCGAUGAACAAGCUGCUGACUAACAACGUAGCAUUGCUCUACAAGUGUGAGGGGCGCUCAGCAGAAGCAUAACUUCUCCACUUGGCGACUACAUUAUUGCAUUCUUGGUGAUUAUCCUGGUGUUCAAGGACGCUGCUUUGCCCAGCCCAUAGUAUAGCGAAAUCAGGCUCCUGAUCACUAAAGGACACUCCAGGAUGCUACGGUUACGCUUAUCGUACAGUAGGUGUGCUUCAAGGAUAUGCAUGGUUCAGGUACUCACCGAAGAAGGUACUUCUAAAGCGGUACCCAGCAUCGACAGAAAAAGACACUGACGGGAAACUCGGUCGCUUCCUUGCCGGGGCGCCAGACCGAGAAGGGGACAUGAAGCCCGCAAGAGGGAGGCUACUGCAGAGGCGGGGAACAGCGAACAAGAAUAUAAUACUUGCUGCGAUGAAAACGGCGUACAAGGAAAGAACAUCUGCUUUUUAUUUUUUAGAGAAGCAAAUAUUUGGAAAAGUAGCGAAAUAAACUGUUCCAAGCAUU